CUUAGGACUACGGCCAGAUCAAAGGGUAGAGGAGCUUGCCUGUGUUCCCCUUUAGGGCUUUCUUAGCGAACUGCUUGAGCUGAGUCCUUGACCUUUGCAAGGAGAAAGGCACUGAUUUCUCUGGCCUAAGUGGUGAAGGCUUAGAAAAGGCAGCUGGGCUAGCACAAGCCCGGCCUGGGAAGCUGUAGGUCAGCAUUUUCUUACUGCCUUUUCUCUGAAGAGCAAGCCUCCACCCCUCUUCCAUGCCUUUGAUCUACUGUUGGAGAAAUAAGAUGCGAAGCCUGUAUUUUUUAAAUUAGCUGUUUUUAUUAUUUAAGAUUUCAUAUUGUUCAUGAGUAGUUGCUGUGUGCAAAGUCUCACUUCCUGCACUGAAGUGCUGUGCAGCCCAGCUACUCUGUUGUGAGCUUUCCAGUGACACACGCUCACCCGCUGGGUUUCACUGUGGAAAUCCACACGCACCUCCAGAAGAACAAACCAGUGAACCGUUGCCACCCUGAAUAGAGGCGAUGAUGUAAAGGGGACUGAUGAAAUGUCGCUCCUCCUGUCGUCUGUCGUCACAGCUGUCUGUGGGGUGCUUGUUAAUAGAUGAUCAUUGUAGAUGCUCUCUGCACAUUCACUUACUCAUGUGCGUUUGUGAUAGUAAUUCCCAUGGGUGUGUCACACACCGUGGAAAAAUCACUCAUGUCACUGAAGGGCCUGAACUUAACGGUGUAUCCCUAGAUUAUCUGGAAGAGAAAAUAUUUCUAAUAGCACAGAGUCAUGGCAUCUUUGAGAAUGCCUUUUCUCCACUUUUUGACAUUGGAGAUGAGUCAUAAUGACUUGAAUUGCAUAGAGAUUUAUUAAAUUAAUUUCAUUUUUAUUAUACUUUGUAGUUACCCAGAGAGAAAAAGAGAAAACACAAUGAAACAUUAGAUUGUAUUAGAAAAGGCCCAAGUCAUUAGCAUUAAAUCAAGCCAAAUGAAGUACAAUGUUUCUUAAAACACCAAGCCUCCCGCUGGAAGCCCCCAGCAUUUUGCUGAGGGCCCAGCAAUGUGUCGGUCAUCAGACUGGCAAGGUGACUGGUCAGGCCACUGCUGCAGGGCCGUGGCCACCCUGUAGCCCACCCACACCUGCGCUCCCUGGCAAGCAGCUCUGGCUGUUCAUGAGAUCAUUGCUGUGUUUUGACCUGGGCCUCAGAGCGGCACUGGAAAGGCCGGGGAAAUCACCUCUUAAAAUAGCCACAACAGAAGGAAGAAUGCACAAGUACUGGAUUUAUUUACAACAAAAAGUUAGAACAUACACAGUGAUGUAUUGACGCCCCAUCCCAAACCUCAGAUUUCCUCUGCGUUCAUCUUCAGUUUCUCCCCUUCCGGUCAGGUGUUCUCAUUUACUUUACUUUUUAGUUGAGUUUAAUCACUCUAUGGUAUGCGAUUUCUACUUGAGAACUUUUGUGAGUGGAUGAACCAGUGAAGCAUAAGUCAGAAAGAAAGGGGGAAACCAAGUUGCCAAGGCCAGAGAAGCGAGGGUGGAGCGAUGAUGGCACAGCCAGUGUCCCCUGACCUGUGACGAGUCAGAGGUGAUGGCGCACCCGCCUCUUCCCCACAGGAGGCUGGGUGUGGCGGAGAGCAGGUUGUGUUUAGGGAAGGGACUCAGAGCAGGCUGCCCGCGCCUGAUUCCCCUGAGUGCAGGGACACGGCCCUGCCUGAAAUGUGUAAAAACUCUUCUCCAUGUGACCCGUUGAGCAGGUGUGGUCUACACAGAAGGUCCUUCCAACCGUGUGGUUUUUUGAAAGGGGAAAUUCAGUGUUACCUUUGGGACCACUUUGGGGUUGGUGGUGUUUGGCCAGGAGGAUUCUGCACUGUCCAUCCUCAGGAAAUGCUGAUUGAAAGCCUUCUGAUGCCCGGAGGUGCUGGCUGUGUGGGAGCUGCACUGGGCCAGGCCAUCCCUCUGCUGCUGCAGGCCCCGCCCACCCUCUUGAGCGGCAGCCCAGCCCAGCCGUGUUCUCCACUGUUUCAUCCUCAGAGCCCUUCCGGUUGCCCCAGGAAGGGUUUAUCGUAAAAUCUUACUGUGGCCCAGAAAACCUCUGUGACUGGCCACCGGUCACCUUCCCACCUUCGCCCCACUCCCCGUGCUAAAGUGGACCAGCUUGUUGUUCCUUGAGAGGCUCCAUGCUGCUGCACAGAUGUCUUUUUCUCCUGCUUCUCUUCCUGGCCAGCUCCAGGCACUCCUCCAGCCAUGUUUGUGGACCACCUAGACCCAGCAGCAGGGUAGGAGGCCUUUAGAAGUUCCAAGGGAAGAUGAGGCCACAUGGACAUGAUUCUGGCAUCCUAAACUUGAGACCCUGUGGCAGCCAUGCAGGGCCACCUGCCCCGUGGGACCUUCACUUACAGGGGUGAGGCCUCUCUGGGAAGCAGGGACCCUCUGUACUAUGGCCCCCGAGGUAUAUGAGGGUUGCAGAGGAGAUGUCCAUGGGAGACUUGUGGCCCCGCACAGUUGCUGUGGCCUGGGAGAAGAGCUGGGAGGGACACGUGGGAGUGUGAGGGUGAGGUCGGAUCUGGGUAUCUGAACAGGAGAGCUGGUGGGGUUGGCUGACGCCAGGGUGUGGGCGUGUGAGAAACAGGUGGGCAGGCGGCACCAGUGCUGCUGUGAAACAGGGAAGCCUGGGCAGGGGCUGUAGGCAGCAGAAGCAUGAGCUGCUGCCUG